rnacentral:rRNA from 1 species
GAUGAACGCUGGCGGCGUGCCUAAUACAUGCAAGUCGAGCGAACGGACGAGAAGCUUGCUUUUCUGAUGUUAGCGGCGGACGGGUGAGUAACACGUGGAUAACCUACCUAUAAGACUGGGAUAACUUCGGGAAACCGGAGCUAAUACCGGAUAAUAUUUUGAACCGCAUGGUUCAAAAGUUAAAGACGGUCUUGCUGUCACUUAUAGAUUGAUCCGCGCUGCAUUAGCUAGUUGGUAAGGUAACGGCUUACCAAGGCAACGAUGCAUAGCCGACCUGAGAGGGUGAUCGGCCACACUGGAACUGAGACACGGUCCAGACUCCUACGGGAGGCAGCAGUAGGGAAUCUUCCGCAAUGGGCGAAAGCCUGACGGAGCAACGCCGCGUGAGUGAUGAAGGUCUUCGGAUCGUAAAACUCUGUUAUUAGGGAAGAACAUAUGUGUAAGUAACUGUGCACAUCUUGACGGUACCUAAUCAGAAAGCCACGGCUAACUACGUG